rnacentral:rRNA from 1 species
GAUGAACGCUGGCGGCGUGCCUAACACAUGCAAGUCGAGCGAUUCUCUUCGGAGAAGAGCGGCGGACGGGUGAGUAACGCGUGGGUAACCUGCCCUGUACACACGGAUAACAUACCGAAAGGUAUGCUAAUACGAGAUAAUAUGCUUUUAUCGCAUGGUAGAAGUAUCAAAGCUCCGGCGGUACAGGAUGGACCCGCGUCUGAUUAGCUAGUUGGUAAGGUAACGGCUUACCAAGGCGACGAUCAGUAGCCGACCUGAGAGGGUGAUCGGCCACAUUGGAACUGAGACACGGUCCAAACUCCUACGGGAGGCAGCAGUGGGGAAUAUUGCACAAUGGGCGAAAGCCUGAUGCAGCAACGCCGCGUGAGCGAUGAAGGCCUUC